rnacentral:lncRNA from 1 species
GACCAAUACGUGAAAAAAUAAUUCGUUAAGAGAAAAGAUUACAAGGCGAUUACCAACCCCACGAACUCAACCUCUCUUAACCUCCUAUGAAUCUCGCGCAAUCCUCCGGGUUGUCCACGCCCUCACGUUCGAAUCCACGAAUGCCACGUUCCGAAUCCACGAAACGCCUCCACUUCGAAUCCAUGAAGCUCACGAUCCGAAUCCACGAACAGCCGUCAAUCACGCCGAAUCCACGACGCCGUCAUGAAGAACAU